GGGCAAUUAGCUCAAUGGCAGAGCGUCUCGUUUACACCGAGAAGGCCGCAGGUCCGAUUCCUGCAUUGCCCA
rnacentral:tRNA from 1 species